UCGGGUUUAGCUCAGCGGUAGAGCGGAUGGCUGUUAACCAUUAGGUCCUAGGUUCGAAUCCUAGAACCCGAGCCA
rnacentral:tRNA from 2 species